UACGUAGGGUGCGAGCGUUAAUCGGAAUUACUGGGCGUAAAGCGUGCGCAGGCGGUUCGUUGUGUCGGUGGUGAAAUCCCCGGGCUUAACCUGGGAAUGGCAUUUGGGACUGCAAGGCUGGAGUGCGGCAGAGGAGACUGGAAUUCCUGGUGUAGCAGUGAAAUGCGUAGAUAUCAGGAGGAACACCGAUGGCGAAGGCAGGUCUCUGGGCUGACACUGACGCUCAUGCACGAAAGCGUGGGGAGCAAACAGG
rnacentral:rRNA from 1 species